rnacentral:lncRNA from 1 species
AUGGAAAAUAAAGCAAAGGUCUUCAAUUUCAAACUGCGGCUCCGCCUUGGAGGCGCUGUCCGCGGAACAGGGCCGCCCGCCCACAACGGCCGGUCUCGCUCCCCUGCCCCAGCCGUCCUCCCUCCCUGCUGUUCCCCGCUGCGGCCAGGAGGAGGCGCCGUAGACACGGGAAAUCUCGGGGCUCCGCUCUAUCAAAGUGCUUGUCUGGGUGAUUCUCGAUCACCGCAACCCAGGAGUGCUGGCGUCCGAAAGCAUUCUCCUUUAGCCUUGCAAAGAAGAGUCGUGAACUUCAAAACCUCUGAGACGGAUCAUUAA